rnacentral:rRNA from 1 species
CCUACGGGAGGCAGCAGUGAGGAAUAUUGGUCAAUGGGCGAAAGCCUGAACCAGCCAAGUAGCGUGCAGGAUGACGGCCCUACGGGUUGUAAACUGCUUUUAUACGGGAAUAACGCGCCUUACGUGUAGGGCUUUGCAUGUACCGUAUGAAUAAGGACCGGCUAAUUCCGUGCCAGCAGCCGCGGUAAUACGGAAGGUCCGGGCGUUAUCCGGAUUUAUUGGGUUUAAAGGGAGCGUAGGCGGCAUGUUAAGCGUGCUGUGAAAUGUCCGGGCUCAACCCGGGCCUUGCAGCGCGAACUGGCGUGCUUGAGUCCGUGGAAGGCAGGCGGAAUUCGUGGUGUAGCGGUGAAAUGCUUAGAUAUGACGAGGAACCCCGAUUGCGAAGGCAGCUUGCUGGAGCGGAACUGACGCUGAUGCGCGAAAGCGUGGGGAGCAAACAGGAUUAGAUACCCUGGUAGUC